rfam:Photobacterium iliopiscarium strain ATCC 51761 CFSAN029430_contig0005, whole genome shotgun sequence.
GGAGGAGCCUCUGGAGAGACUCGUUAAAUCGAGCGCCGAAGGAGCAAACCGUAGCAUAUUACGGUGAAACUCUCAGGCAAAAGGACAGAGGAGAUAAG